rnacentral:misc_RNA from 1 species
UCUCCGUAGGUGAACCUGCGGAGGGAUCAUUACAAGUGACCCCGGUCUAACCACCGGGAUGUUCAUAACCCUUUGUUGUCCGACUCUGUUGCCUCCGGGGCGACCCUGCCUUCGGGCGGGGGCUCCGGGUGGACACUUCAAACUCUUGCGUAACUUUGCAGUCUGAGUAAACUUAAUUAAUAAAUUAAAACUUUUAACAACGGAUCUCUUGGUUCUGGCAUCGAUGAAGAACGCAGC